UUUAAAAAUAUACAGAAUUUGAGUCAGAGGGUUACCGCAACGGAAGUUGGGGCAAAAACAUAUAAAGAAAAGUUUGUUCGGUUUCAAAUGAACCGUACAAAUUGUAUCUUAACUGAAUCAUUGCGAUCAACAGAUAUAUAUGUUGUUCUUUGUACAUAACACAGCCUUCGUACAUGUAACCUUAAACAGUAUCUUAGUACAGAUCAGAUUCAU
rnacentral:lncRNA from 1 species